rnacentral:rRNA from 1 species
UACGUAGGGCGCAAGCGUUGUCCGGAAUUAUUGGGCGUAAAGAGCUCGUAGGCGGCCAGUUGCGUCUGCUGUGAAAUCCCGGGGCUCAACCCCGGGCGUGCAGUGGAUACGGGCUGGCUAGAGGCAGGCAGGGGAGAACGGAAUUCCCGGUGUAGAGGUGAAAUGCGCAGAUAUCGGGAGGAACACCGGUGGCGAAGGCGGUUCUCUGGGCCUGUACUGACGCUGAGGAGCGAAAGCGUGGGGAGCGAACAGG